rnacentral:rRNA from 1 species
GCCCCGGUAAACGGCGGCCGUAACUAUAACGGUCCUAAGGUAGCGAAAUUCCUUGUCGGGUAAGUUCCGACCUGCACGAAUGGCGUAAUGAUGGCCAGGCUGUCUCCACCCGAGACUCAGUGAAAUUGAACUCGCUGUGAAGAUGCAGUGUACCCGCGGCAAGACGGAAAGACCCCGUGAACCUUUACUAUAGCUUGACACUGAACAUUGAGCCUUGAUGUGUAGGAUAGGUGGGAGGCUUUGAAGUGUGGACGCCAGUCUGCAUGGAGCCGACCUUGAAAUACCACCCUUUAAUGUUUGAUGUUCUAACGUUGGCCCGUAAUCCGGGUUGCGGACAGUGUCUGGUGGGUAGUUUGACUGGGGCGGUCUCCUCCUAAAGAGUAACGGAGGAGCACGAAGGUUGGCUAAUCCUGGUCGGACAUCAGGAGGUUAGUGCAAUGGCAUAAGCCAGCUUGACUGCGAGCGUGACGGCGCGAGCAGGUGCGAAAGCAGGUCAUAGUGAUCCGGUGGUUCUGAAUGGAAGGGCCAUCGCUCAACGGAUAAAAGGUACUCCGGGGAUAACAGGCUGAUACCGCCCAAGAGUUCAUAUCGACGGCGGUGUUUGGCACCUCGAUGUCGGCUCAUCACAUCCUGGGGCUGAAGUAGGUCCCAAGGGUAUGGCUGUUCGCCAUUUAAAGUGGUACGCGAGCUGGGUUUAGAACGUCGUGAGACAGUUCGGUCCCUAUCUGCCGUGGGCGCUGGAGAACUGAGGGGGGCUGCUCCUAGUACGAGAGGACCGGAGUGGACGCAUCACUGGUGUUCGGGUUGUCAUGCCAAUGGCACUGCCCGGUAGCUAAAUGCGGAAGAGAUAAGUGCUGAAAGCAUCUAAGCACGAAACUUGCCCCGA